UAGGGAAUCUUCGGCAAUGGGGGCAACCCUGACCGAGCAACGCCGCGUGAGUGAAGAAGGUUUUCGGAACGUAAAGCUCUGUUGUAAGAGAAGAACGUGUGUGAGAGUGGAAAGUUCACACAGUGACGGUAACUUACCAGAAAGGGACGGCUAACUACGUGCCAGCAGCCGCGGUAAUACGUAGGUCCCGAGCGUUGUCCGGAUUUAUUGGGCGUAAAGCGAGCGCAGGCGGUUUAAUAAGUCUGAAGUUAAAGGCAGUGGCUUAACCAUUGUUCGCUUUGGAAACUGUUAAACUUGAGUGCAGAAGGGGAGAGUGGAAUUCCAUGUGUAGCGGUGAAAUGCGUAGAUAUAUGGAGGAACACCGGUGGCGAAAGCGGCUCUCUGGUCUGUAACUGACGCUGAGGCUCGAAAGCGUGGGUAGCAAACAGG
rnacentral:rRNA from 1 species